GUCGAACGCUGGCGGCGUGCUUAACACAUGCAAGUCGAACGAGACGAUUGAAAGCUUGCUUUCAAAAGUCGAGUGGCAAACGGGUGAGUAACGCGUAGACAACCUGCCUUUGAGAUGGGGACAACAGUUCGAAAGGACUGCUAAUACCGAAUGUUGUAUAUUUUCCACAUGGAAGAUAUAUUAAAGAUGGCCUCUAUUUAUAAGCUAUCGCUCAAAGAUGGGUCUGCGUCUGAUUAGCUGGUUGGUGGGGUAACGGCCUACCAAGGCGACGAUCAGUAGCCGGUCUGAGAGGAUGAACGGCCACAUUGGGACUGAGACACGGCCCAGACUCCUACGGGAGGCAGCAGUGGGGAAUCUUCCACAAUGGACGAAAGUCUGAUGGAGCAACGCCGCGUGAGUGAAGAAGGGUUUCGGCUCGUAAAGCACUGUUGUCGGGGACGAAUGUGCAGUAUUUGAAUAAAGUAGUGUAAUGACGGUACCUGACGAGGAAGCCACGGCUAACUACGUGCCAGCCGCCGCGGUAA
rnacentral:rRNA from 1 species